rnacentral:lncRNA from 1 species
CACCUGCUGGGAAGUUUCUAGUGAUCCUGAAGACCUUGAUCAGCUGGAUCAGGUGUGCUUGAUUAGGGUUGGAGCUAAACUAUAGCACUAUGUCAGCAAACUCACAAUUAUAGCUGCAUUAUAAAUAAAUAUUACUUUGAUAUAAUAUUUUAAAAACCGUUCUACACAUAUGAUAUGUUAGAUUAUCAAAGGUUUAUUCACCAGAGCAGCAAGUUCUUCUGGUCUUCUGGCAAUUAGCAGCACAAAAAGCCCGUCAGGUUUUGUCAUUAGAUGUCAAAGCUGAUGCGCAUGUGUUGAAACUCAUAUAGCAAAAAUGAUGUUAAAGUUCCCUUAGCCACUUUAAGCUUGUUUCAUUAUAUUAAUUAAAAAAUGUAAUUUCCAAAUGUAGUUAAAGAAAAAGGCAAUGCUGGAUAAAAAAAAAAAAAUUAAUAGAAAUUAAAAUAAAAAUACACUAAAAAAUAACCUAACAUGGGCAGGUAAAAGAUAUUAUGUUUAAGUGACAAUGUCAACAUUGUAAACAGAGACCCACCUCCAGCACUCUAUGCAUGACUAUAUCUCAGCCAAAAUCAGACGAGCCUUUAUUGUCUGUAAUCAGGCCGAAUGUGACUGUGCCAUGUCUCAGUGCAAAUCGGGUCAGAUCUGCACAUCCAAAAGCCUAGCCAAAUCUGGCAACCAUUACUGGGCCUUUUCAGUGAGGUGCUGUCAGAACACAGCCGAGUGAACCGACACACAGCCACAGUUGGCCCCGCUGUGCUGGCUACCUGGGACAUAACAUCAGCACACAGAUUCUGAAGAGCGUGACUCUUGGAAUCAUCACAGUGCUGGAUGAUGUGACAGACCCCGUUCCAUGCAGCUGUAGUGAUGUGGCCCUUGUAAUUGAGGAAUCAGUUGCUCUGCGAGGACUCUGUGACAUACCAAAUGCUUAUGUGAACAUGAUGGGGUUGCUUUAUGCUCUCAACAUAAACUACCCAAAAAACCUCAGGUACACUUUUGAGGUGAUUCAGAGUCUGUUCAUGAACACUGCAGCUGAUGCCUGCAGUGCAAGAGUGCACUCACACUGUUGAAUUAACGUUGUUGUUGAGGUAGUAUAUGGUGUUAGGCAUUUCUUUCAAGAGCCUGUGCUAGUUCUGUAUUUUACUUUUUUUAUUUUUUUCAUGUUUUUACAAGUUCUAUAUUUCAAUAGCCUGACAUCUAUUUCCAUUGUUUAACACUGAGUUAAGUUGAGUGAAGUUUUUUCAGUGCAGAAGGAUAAUCUUUCAUUUAUGUGCCAGAAACAUCAUAAGCAUUCAUAAUUUUGUUGGUUCAUGCUGAACUGGUGUUGAUAAAGGUACUCUUUGUAUUAAUAAGUCUAUUUAUAUUGUCACUGUGUGUAAGUUACUUUUGUCUGGAGAGAUUUCCAGACAAAAGUACAAAACUCUCUUUGUCUGGAGAGUUUUUCAGGGUCCAAAUUUUGUUUGUAUUACAUUUAUUAUGAAGGGGCAAAUUAUAAUCUCAAUAAUGAAAACAUUUACAUGUGGAGAUUUAAUUUAUUUACAUAAAGUUUGAGUAAACGGGAAUAUAUUCUAUGAAACGUGUAAGUUUAUUUAAUUGAAUAUUUUAAUGUUUAAAAAUAUAUUUGGAUUUAUAGAAAUCUAAUAUAUUUACAUGUACAGAAAUGUAAUAUGUUAACAAAUAUUAGAAAUUAAUAUAUGGACAUAUAUUGCAAAUUAAUAUAUUUACAUAUAUUUAAUAUAUGUGAAAAAUAUUAAAAAGUG